rnacentral:rRNA from 1 species
GAUGAACGCUGGCGGCGUGCCUAAUACAUGCAAGUCGAGCGAACAGAUGAGGAGCUUGCUCCUCUGACGUUAGCGGCGGACGGGUGAGUAACACGUGGAUAACCUACCUAUAAGACUGGGAUAACUUCGGGAAACCGGAGCUAAUACCGGAUAAUAUAUUGAACCGCAUGGUUCAAUAGUGAAAGACGGUUUUGCUGUCACUUAUAGAUGGAUCCGCGCCGCAUUAGCUAGUUGGUAAGGUAACGGCUUACCAAGGCAACGAUGCGUAGCCGACCUGAGAGGGUGAGCGGCCACACUGGAACUGAGACACGGUCCAGACUCCUACGGGAGGCAGCAGUAGGGAAUCUUGCACAAUGGGCGAAAGCCUGACGGAGCAACGCCGCGUGAGUGAUGAAGGUCUUCGGAUCGUAAAACUCUGUUAUUAGGGAAGAACAAAUGUGUAAGUAACUAUGCACGUAUUGACGGUACCUAAAGAGAAAGCCACGGCUAACUACGUG